rnacentral:rRNA from 1 species
AUUGAACGCUGGCGGCAUGCUUUACACAUGCAAGUCGAACGGUAACAGGCCGCAAGGUGCUGACGAGUGGCGAACGGGUGAGUAAUGCAUCGGAACGUGCCCAGUCGUGGGGGAUAACUACUCGAAAGAGUAGCUAAUACCGCAUACGAUCUAUGGAUGAAAGCGGGGGACCGUAAGGCCUCGCGCGAUAGGAGCGGCCGAUGUCAGAUUAGGUAGUUGGUGGGGUAAAGGCUCACCAAGCCAACGAUCUGUAGCUGGUCUGAGAGGACAACCAGCCACACUGGGACUGAGACACGGCCCAGACUCCUACGGGAGGCAGCAGUGGGGAAUUUUGGACAAUGGGCGCAAGCCUGACCCAGCAAUGCCGCGUGCAGGAAGAAGGCCUUCGGGUUGUAAACUGCUUUUGUACGGAACGAAACGGCUCUGGUUAAUACCCGGGGCUAAUGACGGUACCGUAAGAAUAAGCACCGGCUAACUACGUG